rnacentral:lncRNA from 1 species
GAGCCUAGGAGAGUCUAGAUAUUUUGAGAACAGCGGCCAAACACAAAUCCUACACCAUCAAGGGAAAAGCCAGGGAGAGCUUCCACAGAUGGUCUAAGCUCUGAGCUCUGAACAGGACCCAAAUGUCCCCAGGUGUCCACGUGGGUGUGAGGGGUGGACUGCAGGCGAGGAGAGAUGGGCACACUCGCCAGGCUUCAGCAAGGAAGGAGAUUGGGCGCAGGGAGGGAGCCAAGGCCAGGACCCAUUGGCACCCACAGGCUUGCAGGUUGCCAGCUGCUGGGCCUGGAACAGGGAGUCCCCACUCAGCACCUGGGGACUUCCCAUCCAGGGUGGGACGCCCCCUCCUGUGUGUGGCCAAUUGUAACAUCACCACCCCCAACAACCCCCCCAACCCCACCCCGAGAAUCCGAGCUGCCUGAGCUCCCAAGGAGGAAAAAGGCAGUAGAAUCCUGGGAGGAAUUUUAAACUAAACUCUGAUGGAAUUGGCGAUGGAGAGCUUACUGGCAUGGACAGAGGAAAGGCAGGGGGUGGCCGAGAUGGGACCGGGCACCGGGCAGGUCAGAGGCUGAGUCAGAAAGUAAGGUCACGAAUCUGCAAGGCUUCUGCCCCCCGGGUCCUGCGAGGGUGGCUGUCUGCUCACUCUCCCUGGAGAAAUCGGACGGCAGCUUCGCUCCCCAAACUACACCGGAGGGGUGUGCGGACUCUUCCUCUCCCCCCCCCCAAUAGCGCCCUCCAGAGAGAUGUCUCAGUCACUGCAAGCUGACAAACCCUGUGCUGGGCUCCUCAGAGGCAAUGAUAUUAGAGAAUAAAUAAGCCGUAAGUACAGUGGGCACACAACACCUCUAAUGGGUACAAGGGCUCACGAGCUCUCGACGGGCUCCCCGACCCUGUGCAGAACCACCCUUUCGCGCUCAGGCCUGGCUGUGUGAGUUGCUUCAGAUCUCAGCACAAACUGGGAUAAAAUGUAGCUCCAAAAGGAAACAAACGUUCACGCUAUAAGCCACUAGUAUGUGGGGGCUGUUUGUCACUGAGCCCAGCUUGGCCGAUUCUGACCCAUACACUGCCACUCAGAGAUGCACGGAGAUUGCAGCUUCCGUUUAAUCUACAAUGAAUCAGGCCUCACCCACUUGUGGGCAGGAAAAAAAACUAAGCAAACAAAAUGUCCUGUCUGAUUGAAAUAAUCCCUGUGAGCAGUUCAGUUUUUCCUAAACAAAAAGGUUCAGGAGUUUCCUGGUGGUCUAGCGGUUACGGAUUUAGUGUUCUGACUGUUGCGGCUCGGGUUCGAUCCCUGGCCUGGGAACUUCUGCAUGCAGCAGGUGUGGCCAAAAAUAAAUGAACGAAUGAAUGAAUGACGCUCAGUUUCUGAAAUAUCCUCUCCCUCCCUCUGCGUCUUGCCCUAGAUGGUUCCAGGUAGUGUGGGCAGAGGAAGAGGCUCUGGACUUUGUGGCCCUGGCAAGAGCCUGGUCCUUCGCGUUCUCCAGACCCUGAGGCCAGCUGUCCAGCUGGACUUCUCAGCCGAGGCUGCAUCAGGCAUAAACAGUGACCUGGUCUCUCGAGGUCCAGUUACCACCCCCGCUGGCUCUUCCCUGCAGACCCAGACCCCUCUUGGUUCCUACAAGACUCACAGCCCAUUCUGGGGGUCCUGUGACCAUGGAACCCAUGCAGGCACCUCCCCUCACCACUGUCAGCCUGCUGGAAAGCUCCCUGGCCAGAUUGGAAGCUAUGCACUGGGCCGCAAGCACGCAGGGCCUCUCUGCUCCUGGACACACCGCAGCUGGGGGCAGGGGGAGACACUGGCUGAGCAUCCGCCGGAGGGGGGACAUCAAGAGGCAUGUCUUAGCCAAGUCCUGGCUGAAGAAGGCAGUGGCCCUUCAGCUCUUCCACACACCUGACCCCGUCCUGCACCUGCCUCCCUAUCUGUCAUAUCACAUCUCCUGGGCAAGACCGGGCCCACAGUCCCCCUAAUUCCUUGUAUGUAAAACUCUCAGAAGCUACAGCCUCCAAACGUCACGCUUGCUAUGCUAGAGGCGGCAUCAAAGGCAGCAUCCUUUCUCCAGACCGUAAUCUGGCCUCAAGCCUAUCUGUUUAUUCCUUGGCUUAGAAAUCCCACCGUGGGAUAGUUCAUGAAGCAUACUAGAAAGUGCUUAGUGCGAUGCUGGUAAGGUCAAACCGUCCUCUGUCACCGGCUAGCUGUGUGACCUUGGAAAUCUUACCUAACCUCCCGAUCCUCCAAGUCUGAGCUGGUAAAAUGCGUGUAUUGGUUCCUUUGGUUCCUUUGCUGGUUUUUUUUGGUUUUUUUUGUUUUUGUUUUUUUUGUUUUUUUGGUCUUUUUGCCUUUUCUAGGGCCGCUCCUGCGGCAUAUGGAGGUAGGGUCCUAAAAAGCAAAAUAAAUAAAUGAAUAAGUAAAGGAAUAGACUGAAGGAUCCCCAGGUACCAACCCCAUAGGGAAGCACAUUUCUUGCUUUCUCGUGUGCUUUUCCAGGGUGUUACUGAACAAGGGGGCGAACACAAGCAAAUGUGGAGUUCCCGUCGUGGCUCAGUGGUUAACGAAUCCAACUAGGAACCAUGAGGUUGCGGGUUUGAUCCCUGGCCUUGCUCAGUGGGUUAAGGAUCUGGCAUUGCCGGGAGCUGUGGUGUAGGUCGAAGACGCUGCUCAGACCUGACAUUGCUGUGGCUGUGGUGUAGGCUCCAAUUAGACCCCUGGCCCGAGAACCUCCAUAUGCCAUGGGUGUGGGCCUAGAAAAGGCAAAAAAACAAAAAACAAAAAACCCACAAGCAAAUGUAAACAUAGCCUUAUUUUUUCCUUCCUCACCUAAGAGGCAGCAUAUACUAUGCACAGCUUUGCCUGCGGUUUGGCUAUUUGCUUUCUUAAUAUGGAGAUCUUUUACACAUUCAUAGAAAAAGAUUUUUUUUUAUAACUGCAUUAUAUUCUCUUGGAUGCAUGUUAAAUUAUACAACUACUUCCUACUGAAGGCCACUUGGGUUACUUCCUAUCUUCACAACUAUUAGGAUGCUUCCUAACAACUCAGAAUCUGUAAGUUCUUACGACUAAAAAAAAUUGCAGGAGUUCCUGUUGUGGCUCAGCAGAAAUGAACCUGACUAGUAUCCAUGAGGAUGAGGGUUUGAUCCCUGGCCUCGCUCAGUGGGUUAAGGAUCUGGUGGGCUCCCCAACAGGGAGUCAGGUGGGUCCCCUGAGUCCAGAGGCCAGAGGGUGGUCUGGACAGCGACCAUGCAGAAAUA